rnacentral:rRNA from 1 species
GAUGAACGCUGGCGGCGUGCCUAAUACAUGCAAGUCGAGCGAACAGACGAGGAGCUUGCUCCUCUGACGUUAGCGGCGGACGGGUGAGUAACACGUGGAUAACCUACCUAUAAGACUGGGAUAACUUCGGGAAACCGGAGCUAAUACCGGAUAAUAUAUUGAACCGCAUGGUUCAAUAGUGAAAGACGGUUUUGCUGUCACUUAUAGAUGGAUCCGCGCCGCAUUAGCUAGUUGGUAAGGUAACGGCUUACCAAGGCGACGAUGCGUAGCCGACCUGAGAGGGUGAUCGGCCACACUGGAACUGAGACACGGUCCAGACUCCUACGGGAGGCAGCAGUAGGGAAUCUUCCGCAAUGGGCGAAAGCCUGACGGAGCAACGCCGCGUGAGUGAUGAAGGUCUUCGGAUCGUAAAACUCUGUUAUUAGGGAAGAACAAAUGUGUAAGUAACUCUGCACGUCUUGACGGUACCUAAUCAGAAAGUCACGGCUAACUACGUG